UAACACCGGCAGCUCAAGUGGUAGCCAUUUUUAUUGGGCCUAAAGCGUUCGUAGCCGGUUUGAUAAGUCUCUGGUGAAAUCCUAUGGCUUAACUGUGGGAAUUGCUGGAGAUACUAUUAGACUUGAGGUCGGGAGAGGUUAGCGGUACUCCCAGGGUAGGGGUGAAAUCCUGUAAUCCUGGGAGGACCACCUGUGGCGAAGGCGGCUAACUGGAACGAACCUGACGGUGAGGGACGAAAGCCAGGGGCGCGAACCGGAUUAGAUACCCGGGUAGUCCUGGCCGUAAACGAUGUGGACUUGGUGUUGGGAUGGCUUCGAGCUGCCCCAGUGCCGAAGGGAAGCUGUUAAGUCCACCGCCUGGGAAGUACGGUCGCAAGACUG
rnacentral:rRNA from 1 species